UCAGUGUAAAAACUGCCUCCUUCAUCCAAUUGUGACAGCCUCGUAAUGAACAUAUAAUGAUUGUCAGGGUGAUCGAUUAAGAUUUUGUGCGAUUCUGUCAGUGUAAAACUUUCAAGCUCUCAACGGAAAGUACCACUUUUGCAUGCGCUAGCGUCACGCGAAUGUUGCCGGAAAUAGAAACACAAUUGCAACGAACUCGCUGUGACGUUCCAGAAUAAGGCGAAUUCCAUUUUUUUCUGCAUCAGAAUAUAAACGAACUGGACCGGAAGCAUGGGUGCCGACCGUACAUUUCACAACAAUGAGAGUUUUAGAAAGUUUAUUCGUUUUCAAAAUCAUGGACAAUUCAGCAAAGCACUCACCAUUUUGAACAGGAGGACCUGAGGGAUGGAUCACCCUGACAAUCAUUAUAUGUUCAUUACGAGGCUGUCACAAUUGGAUGAAGGAGGCAGUUUUUACAACAGCAAUGUUUUGAACACCAACCGCUACAUCGAUCUGUGGAGUCCCAUACGACCUGCAUCCACCUCCUAAAAACACAGUCUUUGCGGCUCUGGCUCAAAGCGUUUAAUCUAAAGAAACCACCAAAACGUCCCUUUGUAUGCUCCUACCACUUCUUUGACAAUAAGCCUACAGUGGAGCAUCCACAGAAAAAUGGCUUGGCUACGAUACUCCACUCGUGAAGACGCGUCGGGUGUUGGUCAGGCAGUCAUCAGUGACAGACUAAGAAGAGACGGAACUGCGGUCGUGCCAAGAAGGGCUGUGGGCAUGUGCAGCCCAUCCGCUGCACAAGGACAAGGCCAUAAAAAAAGUUUGUCAUCAGGAACAUUGUUGAGGCUGCUGCCGUCAAGGAUAUCUCAGAGGCUAGCGUGUUUGAAUGGUGGCCCACCCAGAGUUCCUCCACAGCCCAUGUAAAACAGAUUGAUUUGAAUAUAAUUUUCACUUGCAAAACAUUUAUAUACAUCUUUAUAAAUAUGAAUGUCUUAUCAUUGUAGAAAAUA